rnacentral:lncRNA from 1 species
GUUUAAGGGAGAGAAGUCUGCACAAAGAGUGAUUAAAGAAUAAAGAUACAUAUGAGAAAAAAAUAAAAAAAUAAAAAAAGAGAAAAAAACUAGAUAUCAAAUGCCUUGAUUAAGCCCCGAAUACUUGUUUUAGAGGAUUAGACCUUUGAUAAGGGGUUAGUAACUUAGUUGAUUCCUAGAGGUUAAAGCAGUCAAAAAUAAGGAGAAUCCUCAUUUGUUGACAUGUGGAACUACAAUCAGUAAAAUCUAACCAAACUUGAGUGGUGUAAGAAAUUAGUAUUGAAAAUUUAACCUUAGGUUACACCCUUGGAAAGAGAAAAGAAAAUAAGUUUGGGGUGUGAGAAUCCCACGAGCAAAGUAAGGAAAAAUUUGACUUCUAAGGUCGAGAAUUGGAUCAACUUAUUAUUGUACAGCGUUGCACUUGACUCUCCACACACACACACACUCGUUUUGCAUUGAAUCUGUGAGAAUUUAGCUUUUGCAUUAUAGUUUUGAAGUGGUUCAUGAAAUCGAAGUUAUGUUUUUAAUCCUGAGACAUGAAGGCAAGCUAUCUAGCGAAAUUUAUUUUAAGUGAUUUUGUUUGUCUUAGUUGUGCUUGUGCGUCCAUUAAUUAUUUUAUGGGUUUUGGUGUUUGCUCGAGGACAAGUAAAUGAUUAAGUUUGGAGGUAUUUGAUGAGUUUGUUUCACUCAUGAUUUUUGCAAAAUUUUAGCUUGAUUAAAUGCUAGAUCUUGUGAGUAUAGGACAUUUUUGAUGUGUUUGUUAGUGUUGUUUUGAAGAUUAGGAAAAGCGAUGUGAAAAGAAGUAUUAAAGUGGACGAAGAGGUCAAAAACACGGAAUUGGGGCAGAAAGACGGCUCUUAGGCGCUACAUUCAUGCUACGAAACUGAAAAAAGAUGAAAUUUGGACCCGAGAGGCAGUGCCUAGACGCUGCGAUUGAAGAUCUAGGGCGCGUUUUUUGGGCCGUUUUUAAAUCCAUAAAAACCCUACUUCUACAUAAAAUGGAGGGGCACCUAUAAAUACAUCUUCCUCAUACUUUUGAAGGGUUCUUGAUAUAUUGGAGAGAAGACAACAAGAAGGGAGAUUCAAAAGAGAAAUUCAAGAAGAUUAACACCAAACAAUGAAAGAUUAGAAGUAUUCAUUGGAAGAGGAAGGAGAUCUUGGUGCAAGAAUUCUACUUUUUCUUCUACAUCUUUAUUACAAACUCGGUGAUGUAUUUUAAGACAAAUUCCUACUUUUCUUCUUGUAUUAUGAAUAGCUAAAUUCAUUGUUAAGGGGAAUAAUGUAACCAAUUGGGAUCUUUUACAUUCUCU